GAUGAAGAACGUAGCGAAAUGCGAUACGUAAUGUGAAUUGCAGAAUUCAGUGAAUCAUCGAAUCUUUGAACGCAUAUUGCGCUCUUUGGUAUUCCGAAGAGCAUGCUUGUUUGAGUAUCAGUAAACACCUCAAAGACUUCAAUUUGUUUUGAAUGGCUUUGGACUUGAGCAAUCCCAACACCAGUCUUUACGAUCGGUGGAGGGUUGCUUGAAAUGCAGGUGCAGCUGGACAUUCUCCUGAGCUAAAAGCAUAUUUAUUUAGUCCCGUCAAACGGAUUAUUACUUUUGCUGCAGCUAACAUAAAGGGAGUUUGACCGUAUUGGCUGACUGAUGCAGGAUUUCACAAGGGUCGGCAACGAUUCUUGUGAAACUCGAUCUCAAAUCAAGUAAGACUACCCGCUGAACUUAAGCAUAUCAAUAAGCGGAGGA
rnacentral:misc_RNA from 1 species